ensembl:lncRNA
AUGAGCUGCGCUCCUUUGCCGGGGGAGAUGUGCUCUUGUCCACUCCAGACCCUGUUUGCCUGGGUAUCAGCAGCAGAGGCUGCAGAAGAUAGAAUAUUUCUGAACAGCGAGUGUACCUGUCUGAUUCUUGCUUUGGAAGCUUCCUCUCAGGGGUGUACUCCACCCUGUGAGGUGUGGGGUGUCAGACUGCCCCUAGUGGGGGAUGUCUCCCAGUUAGGCUACUCAGGGGUCAGGGACCCGCUUGAGCAGGCAGUCUGUCCCUUCUCAGAUCUCAACCUCCGUGUUGGGAGAUCCACUGCUCUCUUCAAAGCUGUCAGACAGAGUCGAUUGCGUCUGCAGAGGUGUCUGCUGCUUUGUUAUUGUUUACUGUGCCCUGCCCCCAGAGGUGGAGUCUACAGAGACAGGCAGGUUUCCUUGAGCUGCUGUGAGCUCCACCCAGUUCGAGCUUCCCAGCAGCUUUGUUUACCUACUUAAGCCUCAGCAAUGGCGGGCGCCCCUCCCCCAGCCUUGCUGCUGCCUUGCCGGUAGAUCACAGACUGCUGUGAUAGCAAUGAGGGAGGCUCCGUGGGUGUGGGACCCUCCCGGCAGGUGUGGGAUAUGAUCUCCUGGUGUGCCUGUUUGCUCAAAGCGCAGUAUUGGGGUGGGAGUUACCCGAUUCUCCAGGUGUUGUGUGUCUCAGUUCCCCUGGCUAGGAAAAGGGAUUCCCUUCCCCCUUGGGCUUCCCAGGUGAGGCAAUGCCUCGCCCUGCUUCAGCUCUAGCUGGUCGGGCUGCAGCAGCUGACCAGUACCGAUUGUCUGGCACUCCCCAGUGAGAUGAACCCAGUACCUCAGUUGAAAAUGCCGAAAUCACCAGUCUUCUGUGUCGCUGGCGCUGGGAGUUGGAGACUGGAGCUGCUCCUAUUUGGCCAUCUUGCUCCCUCCCGGCUCUAUAUUCUUUAAUGGAAUUUGCUACUUACUCAGAGUACUCAAUUUACUUACAUAUCCUAGGUCAUUUUUACUCAGCUAUGUUAGCUCAUGUCGACAAAAAGAGUCAAAUUCUGUGAAGUAUAUUAAGAGAUUUAUUUUGAGCCAAAUGUCAGUGACCAGGGCCCAUGACACAGCCCUCAGGAGGUCCUGAGAACAUGUGCCCAAAGUGGUCGGGAUACAGCUUGGUUUUACACAUUUUAGGGAGGCACGAGGCAUCAAUAAAAUACAUUUAAGAAAUACAUUGGUUUGGUCCAGAAAGGCAGGACAACUCAAAGCAGGGGCUUCCAGGCUAUAGGUAAAUUUAAACAUUUUCUGAUUGACAAUUGGUUGAGUUUAUCUGAAGACCUGGGAUCAAUGGAAAGGAAUGUUCAGGUUAAGAUAAAGGAUUGUGGAGACCAACUUUUAUUGUGCAGAGGAAGCUCUCAGCUGACUUCAGAGAGAGAGCAGGUUGUAAAAUGUUUCUUAUCAGACCUAAAAGGGUGCCUGGCUCUUAGCUGUUUUAUCUCCUGGAUCUGGAAAGAAAGGAAAAAAAAAAAAAAAAAAAACAAGGGGGAAAGGGGGUUAUCUAUAGGAUGUGGAUUUUUCCUACAAGAGACUUCGCCAGGCAGUUUCAAGGUAUGGCAAGGAAAUACAUUUUAGGGUUAAAUAUUUUUUUUUCCUUGUCUUGUAAUGUUAUUCCAGAGCCAGAUUGAAAAGUAAGUCAUGAUACAUAGGGUCAAAUAAAACCCAUCUGAUGAGGAUUUAUGGUUUGCAGGGCAUGACUUCCUAGACCCCUUAGGUAGGAAUUUGGGCAAAAUAAAAAAUCAGAGCUUAGUCCUCACUCAGAAAUUUCAAAGAUUCUUUCCCGUUCUCAAUCUCCUGACAGGUAUCCUCCAUCUUCCUGCCACUUCCUAGGCUUCAUCGGCUUAGCUCCUUUUAUGCGUUGAUUUAAGGCUUUUGAUUAACUAAAAAUAAACUUUAUAAAUCAUAAUUCAUUUGAAUAUCUGAGUUUUCUA